ACCAAUUUAAAGUCUUCCAAGAUGACAUGCAGGAGACUAUUGCCCAGCUCUUCAAGACUGUGUCAAGUCUAUCCAAGGACCUGGAAAGUACCAGGCAGGCAGUUCUACAAGUGAACCAGUCCUUUGUUUCAGUAACAGCCCAGAAAGACUCUGCAUUAAUUCGAGAAAAUCAGCCCACGUGGAAGGACAUCACAGAACUAAAGAACAGUAUCACGGACAUCAGGCAGGAAAUGGCCUUGACCUGUGAGAAGCCUCUCAAGGAACUGGUAGCAAAGCAAUCUCAUUUGGAAGGCGCACUAGAACAGGAACACUCACAGAUUGUUCUGUACCACCAAUCCCUCAAUGAAACUCUCUCUAA
rnacentral:lncRNA from 1 species